CCGGUGCUAAUACCGAAUAUUGAAACAUAAGUGGCAUCACUGAGUUUUGAAAGAAUUUCGGUGGAGGAUGACUUCGCGGCCUAUCAGCUAGUUGGUGAGGUAAUGGCUCACCAAGGCAACGACGGGUAGCCGGCCUGAGAGGGCGACCGGCCACACUGGGACUGAGACACGGCCCAGACUCCUACGGGAGGCAGCAGUGGGGAAUAUUGGGCAAUGGAGGAAACUCUGACCCAGCGACGCCGCGUGCGGGAUGAAGGCCUUCGGGUUGUAAACCGCUUUCAGUAGGGAAGAAGCGAAAGUGACGGUACCUACAAAAGAAGCACCGGCUAACUAUGUGCCAGCAGCCGCGGUAAUACAUAGGGUGCAAGCGUUGUCCGGAAUUAUUGGGCGUAAAGAGCUCGUAGGUCGUUUGUUACGUCGGAUGUGAAAACCUGAGGCUCAACCUCAGGCCUGCAUUCGAUACGGGCAAACUAGAGUUUGGUAGGGGAGACUGGAAUUCCUGGUGUAGCGGUGGAAUGCGCAGAUAUCAGGAGGAACACCAAUGGCGAAGGCAGGUCUCUGGGCCAAUACUGACACUGAGGAGCGAAAGUCUGGGGAGCGAACAGGAUUAGAUA
rnacentral:rRNA from 1 species